rnacentral:lncRNA from 1 species
AGUUAGUACUCUUAUGCAGCAACUGCCUAGUUCCAAUUACAGUCCAAACAACUGUCUUAGAGGUAGGCUUUGUGUGUGUGUGUGUGUGUGUGUGUGUGGAGGGUGUACUCGGAAUUUAACCUGGGGCACUUUUCCUGGUUUUGAUCUUGUGAUCCUCCUGCCUCAGCCUCCUGAGUUGCUGGGAUUACAGUGUGUGCCAUGGCACCUGGCUUACAGGUAGACUGAAAUACUUUCCCACAGCAGUGUUACUAUGAAUUAGUGAAUGAGUUCCGAGGCCAAACUUCUUAAGUCAGGCUAAAACCUUAAUAUAGCUGACCUGUGAUACUGAAGCCACUUGUCUGGUUUUUGGAUCUUAGAAAUAGGGUAGUGUGAACUGUUUGGGAAAAGAAUAGUGGAAGUUUCCCUCCCUUUUCUUAAGUACAAGGUCUUUCUGAUAUUACUUUUUGCACUGCCUCCUACCUCCUUUUCUCCUUAUGGUCCAGGUAUACUUCUGUGAGUUUUGCUCACCUGUUCUCCCAACCAUCAACCUUCCUCCUAGCCUGCUGCACCCCACUCUCCAGGUUCUUCCUAUUUCAACUUCAGUCACCUUCCCCCUCUUUUUUUUUCUUGCCAUCUGUUGUUUGAUGUUUUUUAAUUUUUUUAUUUGUUUUAAUUAGUUAUACAUGACAGUAGAAUGCACUUAUAUACUUUCAUAUAUCAUACAUAGAUGGGAUAUAAUUUCUCAUUUUUCUGAUUAUACAUAUUAUAGAAUCACAUUGGACCUACAGUCACAUACAUACAUAAAGUAAUAAUGUCUGUUUCAUUCUGCUCUUUCUUAUCCCCAGAUCCCCUGCCUUCCCCUCCUAUCACUUUUCUCUACCUAAUCUAAGGUAACACUGUUCUUUUUUUUUUGCAUUACAAUUCUUAACACAUAUAUACCACAAUUUUUGUAUCUGUAUAUAAAGUAUGUCAACACCCAAUUCAAGUCUUCAUACAUGUACUUUGUAUAAUGAUGUCCAUCACAUUCCACCAUCCUUGCUAAUCCCCUGCCCCCUCCCUUUCCCUCCCAUCCCCAUGUAGAAUUCAUCUAUUCCUCCCAUGCUCUCCCUCACCUUCCUCAUCUUGUUAAUCAGUUUUCUAAGUAUGGCAAAUAUCAUGUUCUGCACUGAAAAAAUGAAUGACAUAUGAUUUUCCUCUGCACAUCUGAAACUCUGGAUACCUGCAAUAACCCUAGUGUUGCAGCUGGAUUUUUUAUAAGAGAAUGCCUCCUAACCCACCAACACUCAUUCACAAAGAAUGGCUACAUUUCCAAGUAAAAUGAAAAAUAUUCCAGCAAAUUAGAGAAGGAUAGCAGUACUUUGGGACAGGGGCAACUCUGUCAUAGUUCAUCCCCCUUUGGGGCACAUUCUCAGCUGGUGCUGUUUUCCAUAGUUGUUUCUUUUGCUUUGCUAAGGGGCUGUUUUAGUCAGCUUUUUCAUUGCUGUGACCAAAAAACCUGACAAGAACAAUUAGAAGAGUAAAAGUUUAUUUAGGGUUACAGUUUCAGAGGUCUCAGUCCAUAGAAGGCUGGCUCUAUUCCUCCAGGCUCCGGAUGAGACUGAACAUCAUGGGAAGAGUGGGAGAAGAAAGCAGCUCAUAUGAUGAUCAGGAAGCAGAGAGAGAGACUCCACUCACCAGGUGCAAAACAUAAAUCCCAAAGACAUGCCCCCAAUGACCCACCUCCUCCAGCCACACCCCACCUGCCAUUAGUUACCAUUCAAUUAAUACCAUUGUGGAUUAAUUCACUGAUUGGGUUAAGGUUCUUAUAACCCAAUCAUUUCUCCUUGCAUAUUCUUGCAUUGUCUCACACAUGAGCUUUUGGGGAACACCUUAUAUCCAAACCAUAAUAGGAACCCACUUAUUUUUCUAACGUUUUCUGAAGUUCUUUACCUAUGAGGUAACUUUUUGGUGAAGACUUUUCUAGACACUGAUAUGCUUCCUUAUGUUAAUAACAUUCCUGUGCUCUCAGGCAAAUGCUCAGAUGAUGUCACAAAAACAUGCUCUUUUAAAGUCUGCAAAAUUCAAAUUUUGUAUGCUAAUAGAACCAAAGUAUUAUGAAUGCUUUAGCAUUUUCCAAGCAUAGUAAUUAGCUCAUAACUGGGAAGCAUUUCUGCAGAUGAAUGCAAGCUGUGCAUUUUAAUUCUUUUUUGUUUUGUUUUGCCUCAUAAAGUUCUUAUUUGCAAGAAAUCUCAGUGUGUAAAUAGCUCCUGAUUUAUAACCUUUCAAAUAGCCAUCCCAAUGGGGUGGAACAGUUAUACAUAACCACAUACUUAUGAAAGAUCCCU